AUGGUACCUCAAUCGAUUAGGGACAAAUCUAACUCUGCAGACUGUUUACAAAUACCAGAAUGUUAUUUUGGAUUGCUGGGACUACAUUUUAGACCCGCCACUUCUGUUCUGUUCCCUGUUACUAAGAUUCCCAUGUAUUUACACCAGGGCAAAAAUGACCUUUUGCUGUGCUCAUCUGUAUUGCAAGCAUGCUGUUCUCUGAGGGAAGAGAAAUGGAGACGGUUUAGACAGGUCACAAUAUCUCAAUGGGACAAUUGCUGGAAUAAUUGUGCUAUUUCAUGCUCACCGGCAGAACAGGCCAUUGUAGGAGCAGGAUGUCAGGAGAUGACAACGAUGCCUUUCAGAUCACAAAAUCCAGGCAGAAUUUGUGUCAUGUGGUUGCAGUGCAACUUCACCUGCCGUGUACUGGAAAGGAAAUGAUACCUUAGUAAAGCUAAUAAAAGCAAAGGAGCUUAUCCUAUUUCUUUAUUU
rnacentral:lncRNA from 1 species